rnacentral:tRNA from 1 species
GGGGCAGUAGGGUAGCCAGGUCAUCCUUCGGGCUUUGGGAGCCCGCGACCCCAGUUCAAAUCUGGGCUGCCCCA